CUGUACUAAUUACCGGGUUAUAUUAUAAAACAUUUCCAAACACAGACACACUCGACAAGGCUUUUGUGAGAGUUUGGGGCAUUUCCAGGGGAACUUUUACGACCCUGGUAGUAGUUCGACCCUUCCUCUGUACCGUGAACUUAAAAUAUCGCUCAUUAGAACCUGCCUGCUUUCCUUUUUGGUCUUUGGAAAUAGCUGAUUCGAGAUGGGAAAGCAUGACAAUACCAACCAGUGUCCUAAUGAUAUGUGAUUGAUGAGGAUAUGUAUUGAACUGCAGAGGAGGUGGAAGUGAGGUGCAUGGGAUUAAAACGGAGAGAGACUAGAAGGUGUGAUGUGGUUGAAUGUACUGAGGAGGGAAAGAUUGAGAAGGUAGAGAGGAGGUAGAAGGGAGGUGCAAACAGUGAGAGAUGAUGUGUGGUGUGGUUGAAUGUACUGAGGACGGAAAGAUUGAAAAGGUAGAGAGGAGAUAGAAGGGAGGUGCAAACAAUGAGAGAUAAGGUGUGGUGUGGUUGAAUGUACUGAGGAGGGAAAGAUUGAGAAGGUAGAGAGGAGGUAGAAGGGAGGUGCAAACAAUGAGAGAUAAGGUGUAGUGUGGUUGAAUGUACUGAGGAGGGAAAGAUUGAGAAGGUAGAGAGGAGGUAGAAGGGAGGUGCAAACAAUGAGAGAUAAGGUGUGGCGUGGAAGUUGUGUUCAGUGUGUUGAAGAGAGGAGAAACUAAAACAAAGAGAGGUGCUAUAGAGGGAAAUAUUCUGUGACCCCUCCGCCCCUCACAUCAACCAUUUCCUAAGGCUGAAAAGGAGAUUAAGUAGGUUUUCAUUAGUGUUCCUUCAGGUUUAUGGUGCAGAGGAAAGGUCAAAUUACCACUAGGGUCACAAAACUACCCCAUACGAAAGCCUUGCCAAUUGUGUGUGUCUGGGCAAAUAUUCUCUGACCCUUCCGCCCCUCACAUCAACCAUUUCCUAAGGCCGAAAUAGAGAUUAAGCGGGUUCUCACGAGUGUUCCUUCAGGUUCAUGGUACAGAGGAAAAGUCAAAUUACCACCAGGGUCACAAAACUACCCCUGGAAAUCCCCCAAAAUCGCACGAAAGCCUGGGUGCCAAAAUGUUUUACCCGUCUGCUGUGAUUGGCAUGGAUUUCGCCUUCACUGGUAGUCUGGUAACAUAUAGUCCCAGGUCUUUCUCUGCCUUUGUGGUAGAUAGUGGAGUGUUUCCCAUGUGGUAUUGGUAUGCUGGAUUUCCCCUCCCAAGGUGCGCGACUGUACAUUUUUCUUCAUUGAAUUGUAGCAGCCACUUUUUGUUCCAUUCCUGUAGCUUGGUGAUGUCUUCUUGCAGGAAAUCCACAGUCAAGGGGUUGAGAAUAGUAGGGAAAGAUUGAGACGGUAUGGGCACGUUAUUGGUGUGAAUCUCG